rnacentral:rRNA from 1 species
GAGUUUGAUCCUGGCUCAGGAUGAACGUUGGCGGUGUGCCUAAUACAUGCAAGUCGAACGGAGUUAAUAGCAAUAUUGGCUCAGUGGCGAACGGGUGAGUAACGCGUUGGUGAUCUGCCUUGAAGUGUGGAAUAACGUUUCGAAAGGAACGCUAAUACCGCAUGUGCUCUCGAUUUUCAGAAAGUUGAGAGUAAAGGAUUUAUUCGCUUCAAGAGGAGCCUGCGUCCCAUCAGCUGGUUGGUAGGGUAACGGCCUACCAAGGCUAUGACGGGUAGGGGACCUGAGAGGGUGGCCCCCCACAAUGGAACUGAAACACGGUCCAUACACCUACGGGUGGCAGCAGUAGGGAAUAUUAGAAAUGGACGAAAGUCUGAUCUAGCAACACCGCGUGUGCGAAGAAGGCCUUCGGGUCGUAAGGCACUUUUUGGAAGGAAUAGGAAGGAAUGUACUUCCAGAAUAAGUCUCGGCUAACUACGUGCCAGCAGCCGCGGUAACACGUAGGAGGCGAACGUUAUCCGGAUUUACUGGGCGUAAAGCGCGUGUAGGUGGUACUGUAAGUAGGGCGUGAAAGCUCCUGGCUCAACUGGGAGAGGCCGUUCUAAACUACAGAACUAGAGGAUGGUAGAGGGAGGUGGAAUUCCAGGUGUAGCGGUGGAAUGCGCAGAUAUCUGGAGGAACACCGGUGGCGAAGGCGGCCUCCUGGACCAUUCCUGACACUCAGACGCGAAAGCUAGGGUAGCAAACGGGAUUAGAGACCCCGGUAGUCCUAGCCCUAAACGAUGUAGACUAGGCGUCGGAAGCUUAAUCGCUUUCGGUGUCCAAGCUAACGCGAUAAGUCUACCGCCUGGGGACUACGGCCGCAAGGUUAAAACUCAAAGGAAUUGACGGGUCCCCGCACAAGCAGCGGAGCGU